rnacentral:rRNA from 1 species
GACGAACGCUGGCGGCGUGCUUAACACAUGCAAGUCGAACGGGAUUUAGUAAACAGAAACCUCGGUGGAAGAUUACUAAUGAGAGUGGCGAACGGGUGAGUAACGCGUGAGCAACCUGCCUAUGACAGUGGGAUAGCCUCGGGAAACCGGGAUUAAUACCGCAUAAAAUCGUAGAAACACAUGUUUUAACGGUCAAAGAUUUAUCGGUCAUAGCUGGGCUCGCGUCUGAUUAGCUAGUUGGUGAGAUAACAGCCCACCAAGGCGACGAUCAGUAGCCGGUCUGAGAGGAUGAACGGCCACAUUGGAACUGAGACACGGUCCAAACUCCUACGGGAGGCAGCAGUGGGGAAUAUUGCACAAUGGGGGAAACCCUGAUGCAGCGACGCCGCGUGAACGAAGAAGGUAUUCGUAUCGUAAAGUUCUGUCCUAUGGGAAGAUAAUGACAGUACCAUAGAAGAAAGCUCCGGCUAAAUACGUG